rnacentral:sRNA from 1 species
GCCAAGUGUGGUGGCAAACAUCUGUAAUCCCAGCAGCUUGGGAGGCUGAGGCAGGGGGAUCACAAGUUCAAAGCCAGCCUCAGCCAAAGUGAGGUGCUAAGCAACUCAGUGAGACCCUGUCUCUA